rnacentral:rRNA from 1 species
AUACGUAGGUGACAAGCGUUAUCCGGAUUUACUGGGCGUAAAGGGCGUGUAGGCGGUCUUGCAAGUCAGAAGUGAAAUUCCUGAGCUCAACUCGGGCGCUGCUUCUGAAACUGCAGGACUUGAGUGCUGGAGGGGAUAGCGGAAUUCCUAGUGGAGCGGUAAAAUGCGCAGAUAUUAGGAAGAACACCGGUGGCGAAGGCGGCUAUCUGGACAGUAACUGACGCUGAGGCGCGAAAGCGUGGGGAGCAAACAGGAUUAGAUACCCUGGUAGCCCACGCUGUAAACGAUGAAUACUAGGUGUAGGGGGUAUCGACUCCCUCUGUGCCGCAGUUAACACAAUAAGUAUUCCGCCUGGGGAGUACGGCCGCAAGGUUGAAACUCAAAUGAAUUGACGGGG